GAUGAACGCUGGCGGCGUGCCUAAUACAUGCAAGUCGAGCGAACGGACGAGAAGCUUGCUUCUCUGAUGUUAGCGGCGGACGGGUGAGUAACACGUGGAUAACCCACCUAUAAGACUGGGAUAACUUCGGGAAACCGGAGCUAAUACCGGAUAAUAUUUUGAACCGCAUGGUUCAAAAGUAAAAGACGGUCUUGCUGUCACUUAUAGAUGGAUCCGCGCUGCAUUAGCUAGUUGGUAAGGUAACGGCUUACCAAGGCAACGAUGCAUAGCCGACCUGAGAGGGUGAUCGGCCACACUGGAACUGAGACACGGUCCAGACUCCUACGGGAGGCAGCAGUAGGGAAUCUUCCGCAAUGGGCGAAAGCCUGACGGAGCAACGCCGCGUGAGUGAUGAAGGUCUUCGGAUCGUAAAACUCUGUUAUUAGGGAAGAACAUAUGUGUAAGUAACUGUGCACAUCUUGACGGUACCUAAUCAGAAAGCCACGGCUAACUACGUG
rnacentral:rRNA from 1 species